rnacentral:sRNA from 1 species
AUAUCUCUCUGUACGGGAAGGAUGAGAAGCUUCGACCAAGGUUCGAUUCGAGCGCAGCGAGAAAGCGUUGCCGUAGGCAACGACCCGAAGGGCGAAGCGCGCAGCGCUGAGUCAUCCUUCCCCCACCACCA